rnacentral:rRNA from 1 species
CAAGUCGAACGGCAGCACGGAGAGCUUGCUCUCUGGUGGCGAGUGGCGAACGGGUGAGUAAUAUAUCGGAACGUAUCCAAUAAUGGGGGAUAACGAGUCGAAAGAUUCGCUAAUACCGCAUACGCCCUACGGGGGAGAGCAGGGGAUCGUAAGACCUUGCGUUAAUGGAGCGGCCGAUAUCUGAUUAGCUUGUUGGUGAGGUAAAGGCUCACCAAGGCGACGAUCAGUAGCUGGUUUGAGAGAACGACCAGCCACACUGGAACUGAGACACGGUCCAGACUCCUACGGGAGGCAGCAGUGGGGAAUUUUGGACAAUGGGGGCAACCCUGAUCCAGCCAUUCCGCGUGAGUGAAGAAGGCCUUCGGGUUGUAAAGCUCUUUCGCAAGGGAAGAAAACUUAUGAUCGAAUAAAUCAUGAGGUUGACGGUACCUUGAUAAGAAGCACCGGCUAACUACGUGCCAGCAGCCGCGGUAAUACGUAGGGUGCGAGCGUUAAUCGGAAUUACUGGGCGUAAAGCGUGCGCAGGCGGUUUUGUAAGUCGGAUGUGAAAUCCCCGGGCUCAACCUGGGAACUGCGCUCGAAACUGCAAGGCUAGAGUGUGUCAGAGGGGGGUAGAAUUCCACGUGUAGCAGUGAAAUGCGUAGAGAUGUGGAGGAAUACCAAUGGCGAAGGCAGCCCCCUGGGAUAACACUGACGCUCAUGCACGAAAGCGUGGGGAGCAAACAGGAUUAGAUACCCUGGUAGUCCACGCCCUAAACGAUGUCAACUAGUUGUUGGUAGAGUAAAAUCUAUGAGUAACGUAGCUAACGCGUGAAGUUGACCGCCUGGGGAGUACGGUCGCAAGAUUAAAACUCAAAGGAAUUGACGG